UUCACCCGUGUCUUUUGCGUACUUCUUGUUUCCUUGGUGGGUUCGCCCACCAUAGGACAAACCAUAAACCUUUUGUAAUUGCAAUCAGCGUCAGUAAAAAAAUUAAUAAUUACAACUUUUAACAACGGAUCUCUUGGUUCUGGCAUCGAUGAAGAACGCAGCGAAAUGCGAUAAGUAGUGUGAAUUGCAGAAUUCAGUGAAUCAUCGAAUCUUUGAACGCACAUUGCGCCCUUUGGUAUUCCAAAGGGCAUGCCUGUUCGAGCGUCAUUUGUACCCUCAAGCUUUGCUUGGUGUUGGGCGUCUUGUCUCCAGUUCGCUGGAGACUCGCCUUAAAGUAAUUGGCAGCCGGCCUACUGGUUUCGGAGCGCAGCACAAGUCGCGCUCUCUUCCAGCCAAGGUCAGCAUCCACAAAGCCUUUUUUCAACUUUUGACCUCGGAUCAGGUAGGGAUACCCGCUGAACUUAAGCAUAUCAAGUGGGG
rnacentral:rRNA from 1 species